AGAACUGUGCGUGGACGUCAGU
rnacentral:miRNA from 1 species